rnacentral:rRNA from 1 species
UACGGAGGAUCCAAGCGUUAUCCGGAUUCACUGGGUUUAAAGGGUGCGUAGGCGGACCAGUAAGUCAGUGGUGAAAUCUCUUUGCUUAACAAAGAAACUGCCAUUGAUACUGCUAGUCUAGAGUAUAGAUGACGUUGGCGGAAUAUGACAUGUAGUGGUGAAAUACUUAGAUAUGUCAUAGAACACCGAUUGCGAAGGCAGCUAACGAAACUAUAACUGACGCUGAGGCACGAAAGUGCGGGGAUCAAACAGG